AUUUUCCGGUUGAUCCUGCCGGACCCCACUGCUAUCGGGUUGAGACUAAGCCAUGCGAGUUGAGCGUCUCUUGGCCAUAGUAGAGACGCAGCAUACGGCUCAGUAACACGUGGCUAACCUGCCCUUGAGACGAGGAUAACCCCGGAAACCUGGGGAUAAUCCGCGAUAGAUGAAAGCGCCUGGAAUGGUCUUCCGUCUAAAAGGUGUUAGGACCAUGCUUCCUGACAUCGCUCAAGGAUGGGGCCGCGACUGAUCAGGUUGUUGGCGGGGAAAAGGMCCACCAAGCCUAUAACCAGUACGGACCAUGAUAGUGGCAGCCCGGAGAUGGGCACUGAGAUAAGGGCCCAGGCCCUACGGGGCGCAGCAGGCGCGAAAACUUMGCAAUGCGCGAAAGCGUGACGAGGUCAGCCCGAGUGCCGUCCGCUGAGGACGGCUUUUCUUUGGUUUAAGGAGCCGGGGGAAUAAGAGGAGGGUAAGUCUGGUGUCAGCCGCCGCGGUAAUACCAGCUUCUCGAGUGGUGGGGGCGAUUAUUGGGCCUAAAGCGUCCGUAGCUUGCUUGUCAAGUCUUCCGUCAAAUCCGACGAUUCAAUCGUUGGUCCGCGGAGGAUACUGUCAAGCUUGGGGGCGGAAGAGGCUGGCGGUAUUCCCAGGGUAGGGGUGAAAUCCUAUAAUCCCGGGAGGACCACCAGUGGCGAAGGCGGCCAGCUAGCACGCGCCCGACGGUGAGGGACGAAAGCUGGGGGAGCAAACCGGAUUAGAUACCCGGGUAGUCCCAGCUGUAAACGAUGCAGACUAGGUGUUGGGACGGCUACGUGCCGCUUCAGUGCCGCAGAGAAGUCAUUAAGUCUGCCGCCUGGGGAGUACGGCCGCAAGGCUGAAACUUAAAGGAAUUGGCGGGGGAGCACCACAAGGGGUGAAGCCUGCGGUUUAAUUGGAUUCAACGCCGGAAAU
rnacentral:rRNA from 1 species